rnacentral:lncRNA from 1 species
GAAUUCCUUCAUGGCUCAGCAGGUUAAGGAUUUGGCCACUGGCCACUGUCACUGCUCUGGCUCUGUUUACAGCUGUCAGGGGGGUUUGAUCUCUGGCCAGGGAUCUUCCGCAUGCCACAGGUGCAGCCAAAAAAAAAAAAAAGGGGAAUUCAGAUUGUCAUACUUUUAAUGUUUGCUGAACUAGUGAGUGCAAAAUGAUAUCUUAGUUUUAAUUUGUAGUUCCUGAAUAAUUAAUUUGGUUGAGUAUUUAUUUAUUCAUGUGUUUGUUGGCUUUUCUAAUUUCCUUAUCUACAAAGUAAAUGCAGUUCAUAUCUCUCUUUACUUUCUUAGCCCUUUUAUAUCCACAUGUGGAUGAGGAGUUAAAGAUACAUGAGUAGCACUGAGGCAGAUGAAGAGGAAUGAGGCAGAAUGAGUGUUCCAAGAAGAGAAGACACCAUAUUUGAAAUGCCAGACAUCAGUGAGAAUGUGGGGUGUUUGAGAAACCAAGAGAAAUCCUAUGCAUUAUGAUGCUAAAAUGCAAGCUUUGAUUUUAAGUCUUUUCAGGAGAGAAAUGGAGCCAUGGAACAAAAUGAUCUCUAAGUUUACUUCUGGAUUUAAAAACUUUGUAUCUGAAGUUGUUUCAAGUGAACUCAAAAAAGAAAAAAAAAAAAAGGUAAGAUUUUUUAGCUGCUGGUUUUUAAACUGGCCACUCAUCAAAAUCACUUAGAGCUUUUUAAAAAUGGGAGUUUGAUGGAAAUGCUAUAAAAUUGGGUUGUGAUGAUCGUUAUACAACUAUGAAUGUAAAAAAAUUCAUUAAAAAAUAAAAAAAUAAAAAUGUAGAUCUUCUAACCUGUUCUAGUCAUUGGCAGAUGCAGACAUGGAAACUAUUUCCAUCAAAUUCUCCAGGUAAUGUCUAUCCAUUAGAUAAACUUGGGAAUCACUAAACCAUGCCACAAGGCGGCGCCUUGGAGACACUGAUUUCCAUCUCAAUGAUUUAAAACCAUUUUGAAUAUUAGAAAAAAAAUAAAAUUGAUUUGCCAUUUCCUUUUAAACUUUUUAAAAAAAAUUUGUUGGAAUAGAGUUGACUUACAGAGUUCCAUAUCUUAUUUUACUUCAUGUAAUUUGAAAUGAAUUUGUGGUUAAAACAUCUCUUACUUUUCA